UAGGGAAUCUUCCACAAUGGGCGAAAGCCUGGUGGAGCAACGCCGCGUGUGUGGUGAAGGCUUUCGGGUCGUAAAGCACUGUUGUAUGGGAAGAACAGCUAGAAUAGGAAAUGAUUUUAGUUUGACGGUACCCUACCAGAAAGGGACGGCUAAAUACGUGCCAG
rnacentral:rRNA from 1 species